GCAUUAAUGGGGUAGUGGUAACCUGGGUCGUUGCCAUUAUGUUUGUCGACCCGCCGGGGGUUCGAUUCCCUCUUAAUGCA
rnacentral:tRNA from 1 species